GAUGAACGCUGGCGGCGUGCCUAAUACAUGCAAGUCGAGCGAACAGACGAGGAGCUUGCUCCUCUGACGGUAGCGGCGGACGGGUGAGUAACACGUCGAUAACCUACCUAUAAGACUGGGAUAACUUCGGGAAACCGGUGCUAGUACCGGAUAAUAUAUUGAACGGCAUGGUUCAAUAGUUAAAGACGGUUUUGCUGUCACUUAUAGAUGGAUCCGCGCCGCAUUAGCUAGUUGGUAAGGUAACGGCUUACCAAGGCAACGAUGCGUAGCCGACCUGAGAGGGUGAUCCGCCACACUGGAACUGAGACACGGUCCAGACUCCGACGGGAGGCAGCAGUAGGGAAUCUUCCGCGAUGGGCGAAAGCUUGACGGAGCAACGCCGGGUGAGUGAUGAAGGUCUUCGGAUCGUAAAACUCUGUUAGUAGGGAAGAACAAAUGUGUAAGUAACUAUGCACGUCUUGACGGUACCUAAACAGAAAGCCACGGCUAACUACGUG
rnacentral:rRNA from 1 species